UGGGGAAUUUUGGACAAUGGGCGAAAGCCUGAUCCAGCAAUGCCGCGUGUGUGAAGAAGGCCUUCGGGUUGUAAAGCACUUUUGUCCGGAAAGAAAUCCUUGGCUCUAAUACAGUCGGGGGAUGACGGUACCGGAAGAAUAAGCACCGGCUAACUACGUGCCAGCAGCCGCGGUAAUACGUAGGGUGCAAGCGUUAAUCGGAAUUACUGGGCGUAAAGCGUGCGCAGGCGGUUUGCUAAGACCGAUGUGAAAUCCCCGGGCUCAACCUGGGAACUGCAUUGGUGACUGGCAGGCUAGAGUAUGGCAGAGGGGGGUAGAAUUCCACGUGUAGCAGUGAAAUGCGUAGAGAUGUGGAGGAAUACCGAUGGCGAAGGCAGCCCCUGGGCCAAUACUGACGCUCAUGCACGAAAGCGUGGGGAGCAAACAGGAUUAGAUACCCUGGUAGUCCACGCCCUAAACGAUGUCAACUAGUUGUUGGGGAUUCAUUUCCUUAGUAACGUAGCUAACGCGUGAAGUUGACC
rnacentral:rRNA from 1 species